GUAGCGGCACAGCUCAAAUUUGAAAGCUGGCUCGCUCGGCCCGUGAAUGGAAAUUUGAAGAGGAGAUUUUGGGGGGGGUCCUUUCUAAAGUUCUGGAAAGGGAGUAAAAGGAGAAAAAAACACUGGGGGGGGGGGGGGGUCCCCGUGAGAGGUUUUCCAAAAAGAGAUUUUGAGAAAAAUAA
rnacentral:rRNA from 1 species